GAUGAACGCUGGCGGCGUGCCUAAUACAUGCAAGUCGAACGAGGAACUUUAAUCUUCGGAUGGAAGUUUCCUAGUGGCGAACGGGUGAGUAACGCGUUGGUGACCUGCCCCAAAGUGGGGGAUAACAGUUCGAAAGGACUGCUAAUACCGCAUAAGAUCAAUGGGAUUGGAUGCCUGUUGAUUAAAGGCGAAAGUCGCUUUGGGAGGGGCCUGCGUCCCAUCAGCUUGUUGGUAGGGUAAUUGCCUACCAAGGCUAAGACGGGUAGGGGACCUGAGAGGGUGGCCCCCCACACUGGCACUGAAACACGGGCCAGACACCUACGGGUGGCAGCAGUAGGGAAUAUUGGACAAUGGGCGGAAGCCUGAUCCAGCAACGCCGCGUGCGCGAUGAAGGCCUUCGGGUUGUAAGACGCUUUUAGUAGGAGAUGAGAAAGGACAGUAUCCUCUGAAUAAGACCUCGGCGAACUACGUG
rnacentral:rRNA from 1 species